UACGUAGGGGGCAAGCGUUGUCCGGAUUUAUUGGGCGUAAAGAGCGUGUAGGCGGUCUGGUAGGUCCGUUGUGAAAACUCGAGGCUCAACCUCGAGACGCCGAUGGAAACCAUCAGACUAGAGUCCGGAAGAGGAGUGUGGAAUUCCCGGUGUAGCGGUGAAAUGCGCAGAUAUCGGGAAGAACACCUAUGGCGAAGGCAGCUCUCUGGGACGGUACUGACGCUGAGACGCGAAAGCGUGGGGAGCGAACAGG
rnacentral:rRNA from 1 species